KGGGGAAUUUUGGACAAUGGGCGCAAGCCUGAUCCAGCAAUGCCGCGUGAGUGAAGAAGGCCUUCGGGUUGUAAAGCUCUUUCAGUNGAGAAGAAAAGGYUGUGACUAAUAAUUGYAAUUCAUGACGGUAUCGACAGAAGAAGCACCGGCUAACUACGUG
rnacentral:rRNA from 1 species